AGCUAGUUGGUGAGGUAACGGCCCACCAAGGCGACGAUCGGUAGCCGGACUGAGAGGUUGAACGGCCACAUUGGGACUGAGACACGGCCCAGACUCCUACGGGAGGCAGCAGUGGGGAAUAUUGCACAAUGGGGGGAACCCUGAUGCAGCGACGCCGCGUGGAGGAAGAAGGUCUUCGGAUUGUAAACUCCUGCUGUUGAGGAAGAUAAUGACGGUACUCAACAAGGAAGUGACGGCUAACUACGUGCCAGCAGCCGCGGUAAAACGUAGGUCACAAGCGUUGUCCGGAAUUACUGGGUGUAAAGGGAGCGCAGGCGGGAAGACAAGUUGGAAGUGAAAUCCAUGGGCUCAACCCAUGAACUGCUUUCAAAACCGUUUUUCUUGAGUAGUGCAGAGGUAGGCGGAAUUCCCGGUGUAGCGGUGGAAUGCGUAGAUAUCGGGAGGAACACCAGUGGCGAAGGCGGCCUACUGGGCACCAACUGACGCUGAGGCUCGAAAGUGUGGGUAGCAAACAGGAUUAGAUACCCUGGUAGUCCACACUGUAAACGAUGAUUACUAGGUGUUGGAGGAUUGACCCCUUCAGUGCCGCAGUUAACACAAUAAGUAAUCCACCUGGGGAGUACGACCGCAAGGUUGAAACUCAAAGGAAUUGACGGGGGCCCGCACAAGCAGUGGAGUAUGUGGUUUAAUUCGACGCAACGCGAAGAACCUUACCAAGUCUUGACAUCCCUUGACGAUGCUGGAAACAGUAUUUCUCUUCGGAGCAAGGAGACAGGUGGUGCAUGGUUGUCGUCAGCUCGUGUCGUGAGAUGUUGGGUUAAGUCCCGCAACGAGCGCAACCCUUAUGGUCAGUUACUACGCAAGAGGACUCUGGCCAGACUGCCGUUGACAAAACGGAGGAAGGUGGGGAUGACGUCAAAUCAUCAUGCCCUUUAUGACUUGGGCUACACACGUACUACAAUGGCGUUAAACAAAGAGAAGCAAGACCGCGAGGUGGAGCAAAACUCAGAAACAACGUCCCAGUUCGGACUGCAGGCUGCAACUCGCCUGCACGAAGUCGGAAUUGCUAGUAAUCGCAGGUCAGCAUGCUGCGGUGAAUACGUUCCCGGGCCUUGUACACACCGCCCGUCACACCAUGAGAGCCGGGGGGACCCGAAGUCGGUAGUCUAACCGCAAGGAGGACGCCGCCGAAGGUAAAACUGGUGAUUGGGGUGAAGUCGGAACAAGGUAGCCGUAGGAGAACCUGCGGCUG
rnacentral:rRNA from 1 species